rnacentral:lncRNA from 1 species
UCCCAGCUUCAUUUUUCAUUUUCCAUAUUUCUGUAUUUGUAUCGAACCUUGGAAUUUGCUUAAGACAUUGAAAAUUCUUUCAACCUAAUCCAUGAUGUCAUAGGUCAUUAACUUAUUACUUAGACCUCAAUGGAGCUCUUAGAAGUUGAUAGCUCGGCAUGUUUGCCAUGUAAGGAAGCAAUACAUACCCAAUAUUUAAAUCACGGAUUUGUGGAUAUUUGCCAAUGAAUUGGAAACUUUCAACUAACAAGCCACAGAACUUCCGUGG